CUAAUACCGGAUACUGACCCUCGCAGGCAUCUGCGAGGUUCGAAAGCUCCGGCGGUGAAGGAUGAGCCCGCGGCCUAUCAGCUUGUUGGUGAGGUAAUGGCUCACCAAGGCGACGACGGGUAGCCGGCCUGAGAGGGCGACCGGCCACACUGGGACUGAGACACGGCCCAGACUCCUACGGGAGGCAGCAGUGGGGAAUAUUGCACAAUGGGCGAAAGCCUGAUGCAGCGACGCCGCGUGAGGGAUGACGGCCUUCGGGUUGUAAACCUCUUUCAGCAGGGAAGAAGCGAAAGUGACGGUACCUGCAGAAGAAGCGCCGGCUAACUACG
rnacentral:rRNA from 1 species